CAGGCGGGCCAGGCCUAACACAUGCAAGUCGAGCGGUAGAGAGAAGCUUGCUUCUCUUGAGAGCGGCGGACGGGUGAGUAAUGCCUAGGAAUCUGCCUGGUAGUGGGGGAUAACGUUCGGAAACGGACGCUAAUACCGCAUACGUCCUACGGGAGAAAGCAGGGGACCUUCGGGCCUUGCGCUAUCAGAUGAGCCUAGGUCGGAUUAGCUAGUUGGUGGGGUAAUGGCUCACCAAGGCGACGAUCCGUAACUGGUCUGAGAGGAUGAUCAGUCACACUGGAACUGAGACACGGUCCAGACUCCUACGGGAGGCAGCAGUGGGGAAUAUUGGACAAUGGGCGAAAGCCUGAUCCAGCCAUGCCG
rnacentral:rRNA from 1 species